rnacentral:lncRNA from 1 species
UCGCAGCAGGCAUGUGUGCCUGGGUUUGUUACCAGCAGCCAUUUUCUCACCCUUAAAUGAGGGAUGGGUCUCCCCUUUUCUUUUUCUCAUUUUCCUAGAGGUUACAAGAUUCCUGUUUUUCUCACCAGGAGGAGAGGUCAGCCUCAGUGAGCUCAUAGCAGUCAUACAUUGCCAGUGUUUUUCCUCAAGUGGAAGGAGAAAGGCCUUCAGAAAAAAAAUCGUAUGCAAACCUAGUGCUACCACCAGCAGUAGCUCUGAAUCGAGAUUUUUGGGAGAAUUAGGCUUACUAAAGAUAAACUACAAUAAGUCUCAAGGAAGCAAAUAAUUCUGAUUCUAAUGAGGAAUCCAAGAAUAAAGGCAGCUCUUAAGACCAAGUACUCUGACUAGAAAAUAUCCUCAUAUUUGAUGGAAGACAGCAUGAGACGGAGAACCAAGUUCCUUAAAGUACGGAAGUGAACUGUCUGUGGGUGACUUGCCUGGAUGCCGGCUAUAGCUGCAGCCCCCAAAGUCGAAGCUACCAGAACAGGUUGGAUGAGGAUGGCCCAAAGAUUAUGGAGUUGCUGGCCCCAAAGCAAG